AUUGAACGCUGGCGGCAGGCCUAACACAUGCAAGUCGAACGAGUGGCGGACGGGUGCGUAAUGUCUGGGAAACUGCCCGAUGGAGGGGGAUCACUACUGGCAACGGUAGCUAAUACCGCAUACAAUCGGAUGUGACCAGAUGGGAUUAGCUCGUAGGUGGGGUAACGGCUGACCUAGGCGACGAUCCCUAGAUGGUCUGAGAGGCUGACAAGACACACUGGAACUGAGACACGGUCCAGACGCCUACGGGAGGCAGCAGUGGGGAAUAUUGCACAAUGGGCGCAAGCCUGAUGCAGCCAUGCCGCGUGUAUGAAGAAGGCCUUCGGGUUGUAAAGUACUUUCAGCGAGGAGGCGUUACUCGCAGAAGAAGCACCGGCUAACUCCGUGCCAGCAGCCGCGGUAAGAC
rnacentral:rRNA from 1 species